rnacentral:lncRNA from 1 species
UAUUGAAGAAACUUAGCCUUUUAAAUGACUUGCAUCUAAAAAAUGAUCUAAAUAGUACAGUCCUGAUAGUGCUUCUUAUCUGAUUUCUAUAGUGAUCCAGGGACAAGAAGUUUCUAAAAACGGCUUUCCAAACCCAACUCCGAGCAACAUCAAAGAGACAGGAUGUGACUGGGGCUCUUGACCAGAGGACUGGAUUAAGUUAAGAAAAAGCUGUUACCUCUUCUCUAAAGAUAAAAAUAACUGGGGAGACAGCAAGAAGACUUGUGCAGCUCUGAAUUCCAGCUUGCUGUGGAUAGAUAGCAAAGAAGAGGAGGAUUUUGUAGCAUUGUUUUCCAUUUUUGCAUGGAUUGGCUGACUCGUAUUGGACCUGUUAUUUCUUGGAAGUGGGAGAGUGG